rnacentral:rRNA from 1 species
ACGGGAGGCAGCAGUGGGGAAUAUUGCACAAUGGGCGCAAGCCUGAUGCAGCAACGCCGCGUGAGGGAAGACGGUCUUCGGAUUGUAAACCUCUGUCUUUGGUGAAGAAUAAUGACAUUAGCCGAGGAGGAAGCCACGGCUAACUACGUGCCAGCAGCCGCGGUAAUACGUAGGUGGCAAGCGUUAUCCGGAAUUACUGGGUGUAAAGGGAGCGCAGGCGGGAAAGCAAGUCAGCGGUGAAAUGUAUGGGCUCAUCCCAUGAACUGCCGUUGAAACUGUUUUUCUUGAGUGGAGUAGAGGCAAGCGGAAUUCCGAGUGUAGCGGUGAAAUGCGUAGAUAUUCGGAGGAACACCAGUGGCGAAGGCGGCUUGCUGGGCUCUAACUGACGCUGAGGCUCGAAAGUGUGGGGAGCAAACAGGAUUAGAUACCCUGGUA